rnacentral:misc_RNA from 1 species
ACGGCCAUUAUAGCGUCAACAUCUGCUGGGUGUGUGGGUGAAACAGGGGGCGGCAUUACAUAGAAAAUCUCCAAGGCGUUGAAGAUAGGUGGAAGGACAGACCGUACAGUUGACUCCAUGGAAAUGAAAAUAUCUCCGACAUUUCUUGAUUUAAUCGGUGGAUAACAAAUGGUGAGUGGCUUCAAGUAUUGGAGGGUAAUAGGUCCAUAGUUGGCACCGUUGAAAUUGAUGGUGAAUUCCCUUCUUGGUUUGCCCUGUGAAAUUUGUAAUAUUUCGGCGAAGUGAAAGCAGGCAUAGUAUUCAAAGUCCGGAUUGUACGUUUGGAGAACGUAGGGGUGAAAAAUUGAUCUGAGAGGACUUCGUGGUUGGGCUGCAUUUCU